rnacentral:rRNA from 1 species
AACGAACGCUGGCGGCAUGCCUAACACAUGCAAGUCGAACGAGAUCUUCGGGUCUAGUGGCGCACGGGUGCGUAACGCGUGGGAAUCUGCCCUCUGGUUCGGAAUAACAGUUGGAAACGACUGCUAAUACCGGAUGAUGACGAAAGUCCAAAGAUUUAUCGCCAGAGGAUGAGCCCGCGUAGGAUUAGCUAGUUGGUGUGGUAAAGGCGCACCAAGGCGACGAUCCUUAGCUGGUCUGAGAGGAUGAUCAGCCACACUGGGACUGAGACACGGCCCAGACUCCUACGGGAGGCAGCAGUGGGGAAUAUAGGACAAUGGGCGAAAGCCUGAUCCAGCAAUGCCGCGUGAGUGAUGAAGGCCUUAGGGUUGUAAGGCUCUUUUACCCGGGAUGAUAAUGACAGUACCGGGAGAAUAAGCUCCGGCUAACUCCGUGCCAGCCGCCGCGGUAA